AUUGGGAAUGGAGGGAAAUAAAUGACUGGAUGGUCGCUGCUUUUUAAGUUUCAAAUUGACAUUCCAGACAAGCGGUGCCUGAGCCCGUGCCUGUCUUCAGAUCUUCACAGCACAGUUCCUGGGAAGGUGGAGCCACCAGCCUCUCCCUGACAAGCAAAGUGGAUCAGCAAAGGCUGCAGUCACCAGCAUCUUUUCCAACCUUAAUGAACUGUAUCCUCAAAAGAACACUAUCAGACUGGCUCUGCCGACUUCCAGUUCUGGAACAAGAUGGUUAAACUCAUUUUUCCCUGCUCUGCUCCUCUAAAUACAACUAAGUACCUUGGAAACUAUUCAGCAGACAAUGAUAAAGGGCUCUGAAAGCUAGAAGAAAAGGUGUACUUGCAAGAAACCUCAGGACUUGAGUAACAGCAACAUGGAGCCACACCGGUGAGGGCAGGGAGAGGGUGCUGGUUCUGAGCCAACUUUGCAUGGAAGGCCCAGCAGACCACGCUCAUUACUUACAGCCAGCAUCAUCGGGGAACUCCGGCACAGACCUGUAGUCAGUGCCCCACAGCGCCCCAGCCUUCUCUCCCGACAGGAGCGGCCAGGACAGGGAGCAGAAGGUGACUGCUGUGCUGCCUGGAGCUCUUCUGUCCGGAGGUUUAGUGAAACUAGAGAAACUCAGUG
rnacentral:lncRNA from 1 species